GGCAAGGCCAGCCAAAAUCGAACCUCGCAAAUGCGCGUGAGUCAAAAACCUAUCAACGUUCACUGACAAUCACAUUUUUCACCGCACCAAAACAAAAAUACGCGGUCCUCGAACAAGCUCGAGACGAGAGGAACGUCACGACUCCACAUCUCACUGCGCGCGGGUCAGCGACGGUCUGAAGCGGGCAGACACCACGUUGCGAGCGUGUUGCGUAUAGCUAAGAAAAAGCCAUCGUUGCUGUGAUUUACCAAGAGUCGAACUUCUAGGCAUUGCUGAUUUAUUGUGAAUCCUGGUUAAACGCAAACCAGACAAGUUUGACGUUUCUGUCAGCGAGAAUACCUGCAGCAGGCCUAAAUUAUAGAAAAUCAAAUGUCAGAUCGGAAUCAACUUUCAAAAGUUCGUGGCUUGUGUAAAUUGGUG